CUCCGGGCCCUGUGCGAUAUGGCCCGCGAACCCUGUCAGGUCCGGAAGGAAGCAGCAGUAAGCGGUCACCCAUAUGUGCUGCAGUUCAGUCUGGGGUCG
rnacentral:SRP_RNA from 1 species